AGAAUAAAAGUGAUGCUUAAUUGCUUAGCUAAUAGCUAAAGGCGAGGGACCAAAUUGCAGAAAACAAGAAUAAGUGCCGAAGAGAAAAGAUACCUUAUUCUUCUGCUUUAGUGUAAGUUACAAUAGAAUGUUAGCAUACGAGUUUCAUCCAUUUUUUUAUUAUUAUAAAAUUUUAAAAUUACAAUUUAUAACUAUAUCAACAGUUAUCAUUAAAAUUAAUAAACUGAAUAAACUAAUUCAAUUUAAUCUAUCAUAUAUAAUUUAUACAAAUGAAACUCGAACAUAUGAUUUCUAAAUUUGUAAGAUCUCGACCUUAUCAUUAAACCACAUCCUUAUAACUUUUGGGAUCAAGUGCCAAAUAUAUAUAUCUUUGUAUUUAUAGCUCUUGGGACCAAGUACUAAAUUAUGUCUAUAUAUAUAUUUGGGACCAUCUAUAAAAAAUAAAAAAUGGAAUAAAAAUAGUUGCAAAAAGUGUAAAAGAGAAUGUAUAUAUAGCUAAGCUUUAUGUUGACAUGCAAAGUGGCCCAAACCAUAGAAAAAGAGAUAAGAUAAAUCUUUUUUUAGUGGCAUUAAAAUAAUAUGUAUUUGAGGACGACCAAAAGAGAGUAUUUGAUUUAAUAGUAAAAGUAUCCAUUUAAAGAAUUAAAAUUAAGUUAUUUUAUAAAAUGAUUAUUACACCAUAUAUUGAUACUGUGAUUAUAGAGUAUUUUAAUUCUAUAAGUGAAAUUUAACAAAAUAUUUAUUUUUUUGUUUGAAAAAGUUCGAUUGGCAUGGGCAUUGUUGCCAAUACAAGAGAAUGUGAGUUCAAGUGCCAAUACAGGGUUAGGGAAAGACUAUGUAUCAAAAAGAGUAAAUACAUUGAAACCUAAAAUGAGAUUAUUUAACGAGAUGCAAAAUCAUACGAAAAGAAAAAGGAGGGUACAAAAUAACCAUAACGGAUGCCUUGGAUGGACAUCAAGUGGUUGAUAUUAUCCCCUCAAGACAAAAACUUCUUGUUUCAGAGGGUGAAUCUAUCAAACUCGAUCAACCAUUAACAAUUAAUCCUAAUGUGGGUGGAUUUGGUCAGGGGGAUGCACUACGCGUCCAAGGUAUUUUGUUCUUCUUGGCAUCUAUUGUUUUUGCACAAAUCUUUUUGGUUCUUAAAAAGAAACAGUUUGAGAAGGUUCAAGUGUCCAAAAUGAAUUUCUAGAUCUAUGGAUUUAUCAACAUCAAAUUUGUAAAAAAGAACAAAUUCUUGCUGGCAAUUAGGUUAGGUAUAAUGAAAAAAAGGAUGAAAAGUCUUUUGCUUGUUUCUAUUCUUUCUCUAGGAAUUGCUUUUACCACAUUCAAAACAAAAUAUGUAUAUUGUGAAGAAGACUAUUUGUCUUUACCUCUUUUUUUUUUUUUUCCUUUUUUCAAUCUAAAUUGGACUAAGUCGAUACUUCCACAUAUUAUGGGUAACGUAGGAGACAUAUCUAUUUUUUCCUUGGGGAAUCUUUCGAAUUACCACUGCUUAGCUUUAAAUUCGCAUUUGACCAUCAAAUGAAAUGUGAAUAACCCGUCCUCCUCUCUUUGAAACAAGUGAUUUUGGUUCAGUCGAUGCUUGAAACAAUUUUGUCUUCUCCAUAUUACUAUAUCUCUAGAGUCAAUAAUUUUAUAUGAGGAACUAUUGAACUCAAUCACUUGCUACUGUUGCUCUUCAGUCUUCUGUUGAGGUCUAUCUUGUAGAGGUACUCAAAUUGGAUCAGUUAUCUAUUUUUAGGUUUCGUCAUAAACCUAACUGGUUCCUUCCAACGUAAAUCAAUAGUUCAAACCACACUCAAAGGUACGGCAUUUCCCAUUUUUAUAGGAACUUCUGUACCAGAAACAAUGGUAUCUCCAAUUAUAGCCCCUAUGGGAUGUAAAAUUUAUCUCUUCUCACCAUCCCCAUAGUGUAUGAGACAAAUGCAUGCAUUUCGAUUAGGGUCGUAUUCUAUGGUUACAAUUCUACCAUAUAUGUUUUUUUCAUUUCGUCGAAAAUCAAUUUUACGGUAUAGACGCUUAUGACCUCCCCCUCUAUGCCUUACGGUAAUGAUUCCUCUGGUAUUACGACCUUUACCACAAUGACGCUGUCCAUAGAUCAAAUUAUUUCGUGGAUUGGAUUUCACUUGAAUGUUUACGGCUCCAUUGCGUGUGCCCGGGGUAGAAGUUUUGUAUAAAUAUAUCGCCAUGCUAUUAAGUAUUUUGAUUUAAGUUCUUUUCAUUCUAGGAGGUGGAAUAGAAUAAUCCGGUUGAAGCAUAAUGAUUAUACGCUUGUAAUGCAUUGUAUGUCCCAUAAUAGGUCCCAUUCUUCUACCCUUUUUCGGGAGUCGAUGACUAUUCAUAGAUAUUACCUUGACACCAAAGAAGAGUUCGACCUAAUGCUUUAUUUCUGUCCUAGUUGAUCUUGAUUCGACAUUAGAAGUAUAUUGAUUUUUCACCAAUAACCGAAUACUUUUGUCUAUAACUACUACAUAUUUGGUUCUAUCCAUAAAUCUAUUUUAUUCCCUAUGAGUUCGAGUCUCAAUAAGAAUGCUAGUUCUUACUGUUCAUAUGUUAUGAUAUGAAUAUACCACACCAAUUCGUUAUGUAUAGAUGAUGAGAUUCCAUUGAUGCAUAGAUUUUUUCCAGGAAAACCCCAACGAAAAAUACAUACUAUUCCCUCCUUUUUAUCGAAUCGAUCAUAACCACUGCCUAUAUUCCAAAAAAUUGUGCACCACAAAUAGGAACUAAUAAAGAGGCCUGCGAUCCCAUAGAAAGACAUCACGAUUUCUUGAGGAAAAAAAACUAUUUGCUGAGACCGAAAUAAAGAUAUCAAAUUCCUACCAAGAUAACUAGAAGUUCCAAUUAAUAAAAACCCUAAUGAACCAAAAAAAAGGAUAAAGGCCCAGUAGAAAUUGCUUGUUUUUCGAGAUCCCACUAUAAAUUCUAUUCAUAUAGAUUCUGAUCGCCAACUCAUACAUACUAGAUCCAGUUGCAUUUGAUUCAAAUUGAGAGAAUAACCAAAAAAAUUCGACUUUACUUUUUUUUUGUUUUCGAAGUAACUCUCAUCAACUAGGACUAUUUUGAUAUGAACUUUUAGAAGGAAUUCAUCAAAUUUCUUCGAUCUAAAAUCAUCCCCUUUAUAUGAUCGCUUAUACGGAUCUACUAGAUAUAUAUAAUUUAAUUUCAUACGUCCGUUCGGUACCGAUCCACUUGCUAUAAUUCAUUUAACCCUAUACCAUGUUUAUGUAUGUAUAAGAGGGGAUUUUUCAUUUAUGUUCGGUUCGGGUAAGUCGGAUGUUAUACAAUAUUCUACUAAAUAGGUAUCCAUGACAUCUAAAUCUUGAAAAAAAAAGAUAAGAUUUGGUCUUGGCCCCAUCGAAUCUAAAAAAUCUUAGUUUUUUGAACAUACAAAGAUAAAGAAGCCAUUGCAAUUGCCGGAAAUACUAGGCCAUUGCAAUUGAACUGUUAGAUAAUUAUAGUCGAUGAUAACAUCAUUGUUUACAUCGCUAGUCCAAAACCGUACAUGAGAUUUUUACCUCAUAUGGCUCCUCGUGGGUCAUAAAUAAAUUUUAGGACCGAAUCAGUAUUAUUUAUCUUCGUAUGGUUGUGGAAUACAUAGAGAAAAAAAUAGAUUAGAAGGUCCAAAAUUAUACCAACGGAAUUCUGUCUGCUAUAUUUUGAAGAAUAAAAAAUAAGUGCUUCUAAAUUGAUCUCGCCCGUUCAUAAUUUCAAUUUUUAUUUGUUGAGUAAUAACUUAAGCCUUCAAUAAAAUACUUCUUUUAGAAUAUCAAUAGAUAUUUCAACCCAUUAUUUUCUAUUACAAAAAAAAAAAAUGAAACAUUCCAUUAGCUCAUAAAUCAUGGCACGGAUUAGAUCUCUCUAUAUCUAUGAAAGAAAGAAUAAAGAAUAAAGAAAAAGAUUUCUUUUUUAUUCUUUAUUGUUUCUUUUUCAUUCCUAUUCUGCUUUCGGAUCUUUUAAAACCACGAAUGAGGCUUAAACUAAAAAAUAGUGAAGGAUUAUUUCGUUCCUGAUAGUCAUUACUUUAAUAGACAAAUAGGAGGAUACUCUAGACCAGAAUCAUGGAGAGUACUGCCUAGUCAUUUCUACGAAUUUAAAGCCCCAAUUAGUAUUCUUUUUAUGUUAUCCAGAAGUCUCUUUUUAUAUAAUUUACAUAAUCUCCAUUACCAAUCCUUUAUGUAUUUUGGUGUUCCUAACCAUCCACUCGUUUUUUGUUCAAUCCCCCGUUUGUUUAGCAAUACAUGUAUGGGAAUCCAUACAAAGGAUAGUGAAAACUCUAUAUGGUUGAUCUUUUGAUCCCACUUCAAGCUAGAUUGACUAAUAAACCCGUCUUGGGGUAAAGACUUCUUCCGCUUACGUUUUCUUCCACUUAACUCUUGUACAUAGGAAAUGAGAUUCUAUUUUAUUGUUUAAUUUACUGCAAAUUUAUAAGCUGCUUUCUUUCACUCAUAUAUAACUAUCUAAUUUAGUUUAUCAACUCAACUUAUUUUCUAGAACGAAAGGAAUAGGUAAAAUAAAAGUUUCUAAUUCAACAAAUCGCACGUAGAGAUAUUGAUAAAACACAUAGAGUUAAUGGUAUUUCGUAA
rnacentral:lncRNA from 1 species